rnacentral:rRNA from 1 species
GUCCACGCCGUAACGAUGUCGACUUGGAGGUUGUGCCCUUGAGGCGUGGCUUCCGGAGCUAACGCGUUAAGUCGACCGCCUGGGAGUACGGCCGCAAGGUUAAACUCAAAUGAAUUGACGGGCCCGCACAAGCGGUGGAGCAUGUGGUUUAAUUCGAUGCAACGCGAAGAACCUUACCUGGUCUUGACAUCCACAGAACUUUCCAGAGAUGGAUUGGUGCCUUCGGGAACUGUGAGACAGGUGCUGCAUGGCUGUCGU